UACGUAGGUGGCAAGCGUUGUCCGGAUUUACUGGGCGUAAAGAGCGCGCAGGCGGUCGUUCAAGUCGCGUGUGAAAGCCCCCGGCUCAACUGGGGAGGGUCACGCGAUACUGAUCGACUCGAAGGCAGGAGAGGGAAGUGGAAUUCCCGGUGUAGUGGUGAAAUGCGUAGAUAUCGGGAGGAACACCAGUGGCGAAGGCGGCAUCCUGGACCAACACUGACGCUGAGGAGCGAAAGCCAGGGGAGCAAACGGG
rnacentral:rRNA from 1 species